rnacentral:ncRNA from 1 species
UUCGGGUCUGUGGUUGCAAGUCGAUGCCAGUCGCAGGCGAAACGAUCCACAUAAGCGGGCCAAAGCGCCCGUGAGCAUGGUGCGGCUUAGGUGUAAGUCCGGCCGGCGGUUCUCCGUCGAGAGGGGCAGUAGUGGGGAGCAUGCGCUUAGGAGCGAACCCUCCUGCCGGCGAGUGUGGGGGCAAAGACCAGGUCAGCCGAA